rnacentral:rRNA from 1 species
ACGGGUGAGUAAUGCGUAGGAAUCUACCUAGUAGUACGGAAUAGCCAUUAGAAAUGGUGGGUAAUACUGUAUAAUCCCCGAGGGGGAAAGAUUUAUCGCUAUUAGAUGAGCCUACGUUAGAUUAGCUAGUUGGUGAGGUAAUGGCUUACCAAGGCUAUGAUCUAUAGCUGGUCUGAGAGGACGAUCAGCCACACUGGAACUGAGAUACGGUCCAGACUCCUACGGGAGGCAGCAGUGGGGAAUAUUGGACAAUGGGCGAAAGCCUGAUCCAGCUAUGCCGCGUGAGUGAAGAAGGCCUUCGGGUUGUAAAACUCUUUCA